rnacentral:lncRNA from 1 species
GACUGAUACAUACUUUUCUCUAGAGCAUAUUUUGUACUUGAUGUGUAGUCUUUAUAACCAAUCAUAUAAUAUGUAUCCAUGAUUUAUCUUAAAAAUUAAUAAAGAUAAUUUUGUAUAUUCUCAAGGUGUUGAAAAUUUGAGACAUACAUCAUUAGUGGUGAAUUUUUAAAUACUCUCGAUCAAAAGAUCGUCAUGGAGGAC